rnacentral:lncRNA from 1 species
GAUCUUUCAAGCUAUCAUACCCACUAUAUCCAGGGUUAUAGCUAUCAUCAGUUUCAUUGUAGAUACUACAAGAUGCCUCAUGAAGUAAGCGUUGACUCUCCUCAAAAUUUUGCUCUGUAUCAUUCCAAGGAUGCUUCUCCAUUAACCUUAUGCCAUCCAACUCCAUAGCUACUUCCCUCAUACUAGGUCUUUCAUCACCUCUAAGUCUUAAACACCUUGCAGCAAGAAUAGAAACCUCCUUAAUCUCUUUCUUGUUUUCAUCAUUGAAAAUUCCAACUUGAAUAGCAUCAAAAAGUUUAUCUUGUUUUAAACAAGACAAAAAGUGCAUAGCAAGACUAAUGGUCUCUUCUGGCCUGUUAAAAGAAAGAGGUUUGGCACCUGUUAGAAGCUCUGCAAGAACUACUCCAAAGCUAUACACAUCACUUUUUUCGGUUAAUUGAUGUGUUUGCAUAUACUCUGGAUCUAAGUAUCCAAGAGUUCCUUGUACCAUUGUCGCUAUCUCGGUUUGAUCAAGUGGAACCAAUCUUGAAGCUCCGAAGUCGGAAACUUUUGCAGUGUAAUUGUCAUCCAAGAGAAUGUUGGUACUCUUAACAUCUCUAUGGAUAAUUGGAAUUGAUGCAGCUGAAUGUAGAUAUGAUAAAGCACCAGCUGUCUCUGCUGCUAUCCUUAAACGUGUUUUCCAUGCUGGAUUGUUUGCUUUAUCUUUACAAUUUUGUAUGAAAUCAAAAAGUGUUCCGUUGCUAACAAAUUCAUACACCAACGAAGGAACUUCUGUCUCCAAACAACACCCUAAAAGUUUGACAACGUUCCUAUGAUUUAUUUGGGACAGAACAACUACCUCAUUAAUGAAUUGCUCGAUCUGAUUUGCGUCUAUUAUUUUGGACUUUUUGACAGCGACAAUUUUGUUAUCGGGCAAAAUUCCUUUGAAAACUGUACCAAAACCUCCUCUACCGAUGAUUAAGCUUUCGUCGUAGUUUUUGGUGGCUUUCUUAAGUUCCUCUUCCGUGAAUAUUUGAGCUGAUUGCGAAGUGUCUUCUCUUGUUGAUAGUUGUUGUAGCAAAAUAGAACCACCAUUUUGUUGAAAGAAUUUUUGCUUUAGUUUGAUGAGUUUCCUUUUUUGGUACGUCAAGUAUAGAGAUGAAACCGCCACAAAUAGGACUAUUAGUCCAGCACUUGAUCCUGCAUUUCAAUUGUGUUGUAGCAAGUUAAUGAAUUGUUUUAUAAAUU